UCUAACUAGAGGUUGGACUAACAGACUAGAUAAUAUGAGACACUCAACCAGAUGACUGUUUGAGUAUGCAGCGGUAUACAGUAAAACAUGACAUGGAUCAGGUCAAUUAAUACUGACUGAUCUACAGUGAUGCACCAUAGUUCA